ACGAACGCUGGCGGCGUGCUUAACACAUGCAAGUCUACGAGAAAGUUUCUUUCGGGAAGCAAGUAAAGUGGCGCACGGGUGAGUAACACGUAAGCAAUCUACCUUUAGGUUUGGAAUAACUCCGAGAAAUCGGGGCUAAUACCAGAUGAAGCAGCGAUACCGCAUGGUAAUGCUGUUAAAGUCUAUAUGGUGCCUAAAGACGAGCUUGCGUCUGAUUAGCUUGUUGGUAAGGUAAUGGCUUACCAAGGCAACGAUCAGUAGCUGGUCUGAGAGGAUGAUCAGCCACACUGGAACUGAGACACGGUCCAGACUCCUACGGGAGGCAGCAGUGAGGAAUAUUGGGCAAUGGGCGAAAGCCUGACCCAGCAACGCCGCGUGGAGGAUGAAUGUCGUAAGAUUGUAAACUCCUGUUAGAGGGGAAGAAUAAUCCCGAUCGACUCGGGACAUGACUGUACCCUCAGAGAAAGCUCCGGCUAACUACGUG
rnacentral:rRNA from 1 species